rnacentral:rRNA from 1 species
CCUACGGGUGGCAGCAGUGGGGGAUAUUGCACAAUGGGGGGAACCCUGAUCCAGCGACGCCGCGUGAGUGAAGAAGUAUCUCGGUAUGUAAAGCUCUAUCAGCAGGGAAGAAGAAAUGACGGUACCUGAGUAAGAAGCCCCGGCUAACUACGUGCCAGCAGCCGCGGUAAUACGGAGGAUGAGAGCGUUAUCCGGAUUUAUUGGGUUUAAAGGGUGCGCAGGCGGAGGCACAAGUCAGCGGUAAAAUCGCGGGGCGCAACCCCGCUCCGCCGUUGAACCUGUGUCCCUUGAGUGCGCGAAGGGUAGGCGGAAUGCGUGGUGUAGCGGUGAAAUGCAUAGAUAUCACGCAGAACUCCGAUGGCGAAGGCAGCCUACCGGCGCGCAACUGACGUUCAUGCACGAAAGCGUGGGUAUCGAACAGGAUUAGAUACCCCUGUAGUC